CCUACGGGUAGCAGCAGUGCGGAAUAUUGGUCAAUGGGCGCGAGCCUGAACCAGCCACAUAGCGUGACGGAUGACUGCCCUACGGGUUGUAAACUUCUUUUAUAAAGGAAUAAAGUGAGGCCCGUGUGCCUUUUUGUAUGUACUUUAUGAAUACGGAUCGGCUAACUCCGUGCCAGCAACCGCGGUACUACGGAGGAUCCGCGCGUUAUCCGGAUUUAUUGGGGUUAAAGGGAGCGUAGAUGGGUUGUUAAGUCAGUUGUGAAAGUUUGCGGCUCAACCGUAAAAUUGCAAUUGAUACUGGCAGCCUUGAGUACAGUUGAGGUAGGCGGAAUUCGUGGUGUAGCGGUGAAAUGCUUAGAUAUCACGAAGAACUCCGAUUGCGAAGGCAGCCUACUAAACUGCCACUGACGUUGAUGCUCGAAAGUGUGGGUAUCAAACAGGAUUAGAUACCCGGGUAGUC
rnacentral:rRNA from 1 species